rnacentral:rRNA from 1 species
ACGAAGGGUGCUAGCGUUGUUCGGAAUUACUGGGCGUAAAGGGCGUGUAGGCGGCUUAUUUAGUUAGAUGUGAAAGCCCCGGGCUCAACCUGGGAACUGCAUUUAAUACUGGUAAGCUUGAGUACGGGAGAGGAAUGUGGAAUUCCGAGUGUAGAGGUGAAAUUCGUAGAUAUUCGGAAGAACACCAGUGGCGAAGGCGACAUUCUGGACCGUUACUGACGCUGAGGCGCGAAAGCGUGGGGAGCAAACAGG